CUGCACAUCCAAAUAUAAAGCAUAUCUUUAACUUAAGAUACAUGAAGAGAUAAGUAACUUGAAUCAAAAAUGAAUCCGAGCAAAAUGUUGUUCUUUCCAAACUUGAAUGAAUCAGAAACGUUAUUUCCUCUCAAUUCUUAAGAAACGAGAAAACAUUUUCUUCUCAACAACUUCAAGGAAACCAAAAACAUUUCCUUCAUUCCAAAAUUUUAGAAACCAGAAGCUAUUCUUCCAUGAAUUUCUAAGAAGUAGGGGAAAAUUUCGUUCAAUCAACGAGGGUUUUUCAACGGAAUAUUAUACGGAGUUUUCUCUACUCCAGGUGUGUUAGGGCUAAGUUUUUCCUUCAUUUUGUAAUGAUCUCGUCAUUAUACAAGUUUGAUAACGAGGCAUAAAGAAAAAUUCAUAUCCUGAAAUUUACGUAUGUUUUGCUAGUGUCGCAAAUUGCGUGUAUUUUUCUAAUUUUGUAAGUUAUAAUAUUCUCCUUAUCGGGACUUCAUAUUCAGUUGAUUAUUUCCUUCUUCCAGUCAAGAGAGCAGAGAAUUUACAUAUAUACAGUAUUAAAAGUAUUUUCAUUACCAUCGAGCAAUAAUCGAUAGGCAGGCCCCUAUUGGGCAACCUCAGAUCAGAUGAUAAGUUAUAUACCGAGUCUACUGUGGCUGAGCGCCUAUGAUCGAGCCCAGCAUGGUCGAGAUACAGAGCCUAGUAUGGCCGAGCGCCUAUGAGCGAGCCUACUACGGCAGAGUAUCUUUGACUAGUAGUAUCUUUGACUACGACAGAGUAUCUUUGACUAUGAGCGCCCUAUAUAUAUACCGAGCCUUAUAGGGCUGAACAACUAUUUUACUUACUAUAUUGAGAGAGUUGAGUCAGUAUCAGCAGGUAAGCAUAUCUUCAGAUUAUCUUUGACUUCCAUCUACUUGCAGUUAUUAAAUUAUCAGUUCAGUUUCAGCUUUCAGUAUAUUGCCUUACAUACUCGGUACAUUAUUUCGUACUAACGUCCCUUUUGCCUGGGGACGAUGUAUUUCAUGCCCGCAGGUCCAGACAGACAGGUCGAGAGUCCUCCAAGUAGACUCUCAGCUCAGCGGAAGAUGGUUGCUGAAGAUGGUGUAUCGCUCCAUUUGCUUCGGAGUUGCGUGUUUGAUUAGUAUGAUUUAGAUGUGUAUUGUUUGGUAUGGUGGGACUCUGUCCCGACCUUUAUGACAUUUAUGUACUCUUAGAGACUUGUAGACUUAUGUCGCGUACGUGAAAGAUUUUACAGCUUUGUCGGCCUAUGUUUUGAAUUUAUAAAUGAUCAUGUUGGCAUAUUAGGCCCGUAUGUCACGUGUAUAUGAUGAUGUAAUAAGAAAGAUAUGUUACGUUGGUACUCGGUUGAGUAAGGUACCGGGUGCCCGUCAUGGCCCAUCGGUUUGGGUUGUGACAAUUAUUAAUAUAUUUGGACAACUGUUGUUGAAGAAAUAGUACUAUUCCAGUUGUGGCCACUCGACAGAGCGCAGAAAUGAGUAGUAUACUAUAUGUGAAUUCUUCUCUUUCUUGCUUAACUCCAGUGAAUUGUCUUCUCUUUUUUGCUUAACUCUAGAUUGAGUUAUUUUAUCGGGUAAAUCGAUAACCGAACCGAUAAUGAUCGAUAACCGAUUAACCGAUAUCUAGAUUCGAUUAUCGAUUUAUCAAAUUUGUAAACCGAUAACCGAU
rnacentral:lncRNA from 1 species